rnacentral:rRNA from 1 species
AUUGAACGCUGGCGGAAUGCUUUACACAUGCAAGUCGAACGGUAGAGGGGGCAACCCCUUGAGAGUGGCGAACGGGUGAGUAAUAUAUCGGAACGUGCCCAGUCGUGGGGAUAACGUAGCGAAAGUUACGCUAAUACCGCAUACGAUCUAAGGAUGAAAGCGGGGGGACUCGCAAGAGCCUCGCGCGAUUGGAGCGGCCGAUAUCAGAUUAGGUAGUUGGUGGGGUAAAGGCUCACCAAGCCAACGAUCUGUAGCUGGUCUGAGAGGACGACCAGCCACACUGGGACUGAGACACGGCCCAGACUCCUACGGGAGGCAGCAGUGGGGAAUUUUGGACAAUGGGCGCAAGCCUGAUCCAGCAAUGCCGCGUGCAGGAUGAAGGCCU